rnacentral:rRNA from 1 species
UACGUAGGGUGCAAGCGUUGUCCGGAAUUAUUGGGCGUAAAGAGCUCGUAGGCGGUCUGUCGCGUCGGCUGUGAAAACCCGGAGCUCAACUCCGGGCCUGCAGUCGAUACGGGCAGACUGGAGUUCGGCAGGGGAGACUGGAAUUCCUGGUGUAGCGGUGAAAUGCGCGGAUAUCAGGAGGAACACCGGUGGCGAAGGCGGGUCUCUGGGCCGAUACUGACGCUGAGGAGCGAAAGCGUGGGGAGCGAACAGG